GAUGAACGCUGGCGGCGUGCCUAAUACAUGCAAGUCGAGCGAAGCGGGAACGGGUGAGUAACACGUGGAUAACAUCCUAUAAGACUGGGAUAACUUCGGGAAAACGGAGCUAAAACGGAUACUUAUAUAUGAAUCCGAGCUGCAUUAGCUAGUUGGUAAGGUAACGGCUUACCAAGGCAAAGAUGCAUAGCCGACCUGCUAGGGUGAUCGGACACAGUGUAACUUAGACACGGUCCAUAAUCCUACGGGAGGCAGCAGGAGGGAAUCUUCCGCAAUGGGCGAGAGCCUGAAGGAGCAACGCCGCGUGAGUGAUGAAGGUCUUCGGAUCGUAAAGCUCUGUUAUUAGGGAAGCGGUACUUAAUCAGAAAGCCACGGCUAACUACGUGCCAGCAGCCGCGGUAAUUC
rnacentral:rRNA from 1 species